UACGGAGGGUGCAAGCAUUAAUCGGAAUUAUUGGGCGUAAAGGGCGCGUAGGCGGAAAGUUAAGUCAGAUGUGAAAUUCCGAAGCUCAACAUCGGAGCUGCAUUUGAAACUAGCUUUCUUGAGGAUUGGCGGAGAGAAUGGAAUUCCACGUGUAGCGGUGAAAUGCGUAGAUAUGUGGAAGAACACCUGUGGCGAAAGCGGUUCUCUAGCUAAAUCCAGACGCUGAGGCGCGAGAGCAAGGGGAGCAAACAGG
rnacentral:rRNA from 1 species